rnacentral:rRNA from 1 species
UACAGGGGGUGCAAACGUUGCUCGGAAUCAUUGGGCGUAAAGCGCACGUAGGCGGUUCGUUAUGUCGGAUGUGAAAGCCCUUGGCUUAACCGAGGAAGUGCAUCCGAAACUGGCGAGCUAGAGUACGAAAGAGGAUCGCGGAAUUCCCGGUGUAGAGGUGAAAUUCGUAGAUAUCGGGAGGAAGACCAGUGGCGAAGGCGGGUCUCUGGACAGUUCCUGACACUGAGGCACGAAGGCCAGGGGAGCAAACGGG